AUUGAACGCUGGCGGCAGGCUUAACACAUGCAAGUCGAACGAGUGGCGGACGGGUGAGUAAUGAUUGGGAAGCUAGCUUAUGGAGGGGGAUAAAUACGGGAAACUGUAGCUAAUACCGCGUACCAUAGGCUGUGCCCAAGUGGGAUUAGGUAGUUGGUGGGGUAAAGGCUAACCAAGCCGACGAUCUCUAGCUGGUCUGAGAGGAUGACCAGCCACACUGGGACUGUGACACGGCCCAGACUCCUACGGGAGGCAGCAGUGGGGAAUAUUGCGCAAUGGGGGCAACCCUGACGCAGCCAUGCCGCGUGAAUGAAGAAGGCCUUAGGGUUGUAAAGUACUUUCAGCGGGGAGGCGUUACCCGCAGAAGAAGCACCGGCUAACUCCGUGCCAGCAGCCGCGGUAAUUC
rnacentral:rRNA from 1 species